rnacentral:other from 1 species
AUAUGCCUGCCCUGUUGGUGAUAAGGUGAGAAUAUUGAUCCGGCAAAUUAGAUCUUUUGGGAGCCCGGGUAGAGGGUUGGUGUGCAGGCCCCGCAUCAAAAGAGCGGGGAAGCCUGAAGACUCUUUCAGGGUACCCACCUAUUUUUUAGGCGGAUCUAAUUUCUCCUUACACGGCAGGGCGGGUUUAUU